rnacentral:rRNA from 1 species
GGCCUACCAUGGUGGUAACGGGCAACGGGGUGUUAGGGCACGACACCGGAGAGGGAGCCUGAGAAACGGCUACCACAUCCAAGGAAGGCAGCAGGCGCGCAAAUUACCCAAUCCCGACACGGGGAGGUAGUGACAAUAAAUAACAAUACAGGGUUCUUUUGGAUCUUGUAAUUGGAAUGAGUACAAUUUAAAUCUCUUAACGAGGAACAAUUGGAGGGCAAGUCUGGUGCCAGCAGCCGCGGUAAUUCCAGCUCCAAUAGCGUAUAUUAAAGUUGUUGCAGUUAAAAAGCUCGUAGUUGAAUUUCGGGGUCAAUAUUUCGGUCAUGCCGUUGGUAUGCACUGUUAUCAUUGACUUCUCACCUUCUAAAGAACCGUGAUGCCAUUAAUUUGGUGUUACGGGGAAUUAGGACUGUUACCUUGAAAAAAUUAGAGUGUUUAAAGCAGGCUCACGCUUGAAUACAUUAGCAUGGAAUAAUGAAAUAGGACAUCCGAUUCUAUUUUGUUGGUUUCUAGGAUCGAUGUAAUGAUUAAUAGGGAUAGUUGGGGGCAUUAGUAUUCAAUUGUCAGAGGUGAAAUUCUUGGAUUUAUUGAAGACUAACUACUGCGAAAGCAUUUGCCAAGGAUGUUUUCAUUAAUCAAGAACGAAAGUUAGGGGAUCGAAGACGAUCAGAUACCGUCGUAGUCUUAACCAUAAACUAUGCCGACUAGGGAUCGGAUGAUGUUAAUUUUUUAAUGACUCAUUCAGCGCCUUACG